rnacentral:rRNA from 1 species
GGACUACACGGGUAUCUAAUCCUGUUUGCUCCCCGCACUUUCGCGCCUCAGCGUCAGUCAUCGGCUCGAAGCUCGCCUUCGCCACCGGUGUUCUUCCUGAUAUCUACAGAUUUCACCCCUACACCAGGAAUUCCAGCUCCGCCUCCGUGACUCAAGCCCGCCAGUUUCCAGCGCAGUCCAUGGGUUGAGCCCAUGGCUUUCACGCCGGACUUGAUGGGCCGCCUACGCGCCCUUUACGCCCAAUAAUUCCGAACAACGCUCGCCCCUUACGUGUUACCGCGGCGGCUGGCAC